UUUUGUCCUGCUUGAAUUUCCGAGUGGGUGUCGUCUCCCUUUUCAUUUGGGUCGCUCUGUUUCGAUAAGGCCGAGGGAGAGAGCUCGAGCGGCGAAGGAGAGAGGCGGAGGAGAGAGGCGAUUCCGAGCUAUUCCACCGUUCGAUUUUGAUUUUGUCCUCCCUAUUCUCUUUGCCCCCGGCUGCCGAGGUUUGGUUCAAUGCAGAAAGUUUCUCACAAGGAUGUACCACUAGUCUCUUCUCUUGAGAGUGCAGAUUCUCUGAAUGAUCUGUUUGUGCCUAAUGAUCUUGCAGAUGAUGGUUCUAAUCCUAUGUCUUUGGAAAUCUCUAGUGAUGAUGGAGGGCUUGACAAUCUCAAGUGUGGUCCAGGGAAGCUGCUGGGAGGGAUUGCGUGGGGUUCUCUUGCUCUUUUGGUUUAGUUGACAACCGGGUCUUCUUUUUUUUAAGUCCAACCCGUUUAGUGGGAACGAACAGUAUCAGUGGUUUUGGGCUAUACAGAUGUCAACCGGAUAUUGGUCAGAAAAUUUGAAUGAUAUCCAAUAGGAAAUCAGUCAAAUGUCAAAUAGACAAUCCCAAUAAAAAUGGCCGUCUUGCGGAACACAAACCCCAAAUAUGGUAGUUGUUGGCUCCUGAGCUACGGAACAUCUCAGCGACGACUCACGAGUGACGGUCAGGCCGAGCGGCAAGUCGCCUCCGGCAAGCCGGCGGUGGCGACUUGCCACUACGUGGCCGGCAUCGCUCCCUGCCCAUCAUCGCUUCCGCGGCUACAAUCGAAUUGUGAUGGCCUGCAAUCGAAACCUU